GAAAUGCGAUAAGUAAUGUGAAUUGCAGAAUUCAGUGAAUCAUCGAAUCUUUGAACGCACAUUGCGCCCGCUAGUAUUCUGGCGGGCAUGCCUGUUCGAGCGUCAUUUCAACCAUCAAGCUCUAGGCUUGUGUUGGGGCCCUGCGGCCGUCCGCAGCCCCCUAAAAACAGUGGCGGGCUCGCUAUACACCGAGUGCAGUAGUUUACUCUUCGCUUAGGACGUGUACUGGGUUCCGGCCGUAAAACCCCCAAUUUAUCAAGGUUGACCUCGGAUCAGGUAGGAAUACCCGCUGAGUUUAA
rnacentral:misc_RNA from 1 species